AGGCAGCGAGCGCAGAGGCGGCUGGUGAGGGAGGAGGGACUGCUUAAGGCGACAGCAGAUAAGUUUUUCUUAAAAGAAAAAAAAAGCUAGGAAUUGAAGCAAUCUUUAGGAAAUGUAAAUAGGGAUAAUACUUCUUGAGAUAUUGCUUAGCAUUAAACUCGUAGAGUAGUAUUGUAAUCUUAAAAAGAACUUAAAAGGAAAACCAUGAAGAUUUUAAAGAGUAGCUUGAGAAAGAAAAUGCUCUUUGUAGAAAAAGACGGAGGUUAAGAGAUGAAGCUUAAUGGAGUGGAGAAAACCCUAAUUUUAGAAGAAUUGUUGAGAGGACUUCAAAGUCCAGGAUUCAAUAAGUCCUUAAAUCUGAGGGCAGCCUUUCAGGUUGUCGUUGAAAUGUAAAUGACCUAAAUAGAGCCUAAAUGUUUUAGAAAGACCGGUUGUAGAUGGUAAAGAUUAAAAGUUUGUCUUUUAAAAAGCUUAACUUGAAGGUGAUUUAAGAGCCCUUCAAAUUCAUGGGUUAGUUAUUGCGUCAUUUGACACCUAGAUCUUAAGCUAUUACUUGCUAAAACUUGCAAAUAUUAAUUAGUGGUAGGAUGAAAAUUUGAAGAGAUUAGAAAAUUGGAGAACUCGCAAGACCGAAGUACAGGAAGGUGAAGAUUUAAAAGACCAGAAGUAAAGGUGAAGAAAAUACUUAGAGAAGAUAGGAAAAUUGGAAGAAAAAUUACACGCCUUUUAGAAGACAAAAAUAAUUUAAACCUCGAAGGCAGGAAGCAGAAGAAAAAAUAUUUAGAGAAGAACAAGGCAACAAGGUCUCAGAUACAAAUUGAGAAAGCCAGAAAUUGGAAACGAGGUGGAAAAUAAGGUCAGGGAAAGUACAUCAGGUAGAAAAUGAAAAGCUAGGACAACCGCUGAAUACAGGCACAUAAGAUAGACGUCAAAAAGAAGAUAGAGAAGUUUAAAGCCAAAAAAUUGGAGAAAGUAAGAACAGGAAAACUAAGAAUUUUUAAGUAGUUCUGGAAUCUUUCCAAAAGCCCAUGAAUUUAAUUUCUGGUGCAGAAGCUAGAUUUGAGGGUGUUAAAACUACUGUAGACCGAGACCCAGCUUAGCCCAGGAGCUAGAAGGGAAAGAUAAAAAUCAGAUUUACAGCGUUUGCUACCAAAAAGACUUAAGUAGAAUAUUUUUGGAGUUAAAAAUGUGAGGGUCUUUAAAUAUGGUAGCUUUUAGUGUUCUUGGAGAAUUUAAAGAACUUUCGUAACUGAAGUAAUGCAAGAUCAAGAAUAACUACCAACUUAACAUUCUCCCAUUGGACUUUGAGCUAAGAUGGUUUUUUAAAUCCUGAGGACUAGCGUUAAUUGGCAGCCGACCCAGGUACUACGCAGAAGUGGAUUCAGUGAAUCUAGGAAGACAGGAGCGGCAGACAGGAUUCCAGGAGCCAGUGUUGGUGAAGCUAGGACUGAGGAGCGAGCUGCAGUUCGUGGUGAAGAUAGGAAGGAAGGCGAAGUCCGGGAGCCAGUGCGGUUGGUGAAGGAAGGAAGCUAGGAAGAAAGAAGGAGCCCUAACGAUUUGGAGGUGAAGCUAGGAGAGGAUUCCAGAAAGGAGGAGCCAGUGCGAUGUGGUGAUGAAGCUAGCGAGCAGCUUGGCAGCUUGGCUUGGCGACCACGCGGAGGCGGCGAACAGGCGCUGUGGAGGCUAGAUAGAGGAUCCUAGAGCAGCAUCCCAGUGUGCGAGGCCCCAGGGAGGACAAGUGGUGUGGUAAAAAUACCAGAGAUGGGCUAACGUGGCUUUGUAACUUCAGUAUGGUAACGUUUAUUUGCUUUUCUAAUGGUAACGGGGGAAUUGUGGUACUCAAGCGCUAAGGGAUUUAUGGGGGUGUAGGCCGAUUUCCGGGUGUCGUAGGUUUCUCUUUUUCAGGCUUGUUUUCUCAUCUUGUCUGAAGCUUUUGAGGGCAGACUUCCAAGGCCUGGAGGAAUGGUAGAUGGCAAGUUUUUUUGUUUUGUUUUUAACCAAUUUGAGGGAAACCAAAUGAAUUUGGUAGAUCAACCUUGAGACAAAAUUCUGGCAAGUUUUGUAAGAAGUUUUUAGCUUGGGGUAAUGAAGCCUUUCAGUUUUUUGAAUAGAUGACGUAUUCUUCCUUCACCCUGUAUUCAAGUUUUCUAAAUGUGGAGUUUGGCUGUGUUUGGGGGGGAAAGUUUUUUGUGGGGAUGGGGGCGCAAAAAUAUGUUUUGAGUUCUUUUCCCCUUAGGUCUGCCUAGAGUCUCAAAGGCAAAUGACUCAAGGUAACAGAAAAAAGAAAAUCCAGUAUCAGGAUAAUCAGAACACCACAGGUUUACAGUUCUAGAAACUAGAGCACGAGCAGCUCUCACUUUUGAGUUCUGUGGCGGAGCUGUCCAUUGGAGAAAUGGCUGGUAGUUAUUGUUUUUCCACUUCUUCAUCAGAUAUUUUAAUACAUAACCCUUUAAACUUGUUACAUUUACUUAACUUUGGGGUGGUCUUAACAGGGAAGAGGGUUGGGGGAGAAAAUUUUCUUUCUAAGAUUUUCCACAGAUGCUAUAGUACUAUUGACAAACUGGGUUAGAGAAGGAUUGUACUGCUAUGCUGUUGGCACGAACACCUUCAGGGAUUGGAGCUGCUUUUUUCCUUGGAAGAGUAUUCCCAGUUGAAGCUGAAAUGGUACAGCACAGUGCAGCUUUGGUUCAUACUCAGUCUUCUCAGGAGCACUUCAGAAGAGCUUGACUAGGCCAGAUGUUGAAGUUAAGUUUUCAAGUAAUGUGAUCUUUAACUUUUAUUAAAGGGGAGGGGCAAAUUUUGGCAAUUGAUAGUUGGCAGUGGCCUGUUAAUGGUUGGGAUUGGGGAGGGUUGGGGGUUAGGUAAUUGUUUAGUUUAUGAUUUCAGAUAACUCAUGCCCGAGAACUUAAAUACUUAGGAUGGAAAAACUAAAGAAAUCUCAACUUCCAAGUUGGCAAGUAACUCCCAAUCCUCUAGUUUUUGUUUUCCCCCAAUUUUUGAAUUGGGCAGCUGGGGAAGUUCAUGAAGAUCCACUGGAUUCAUAGUGUAAGGCCUGGGGAAGGAAAGUAUAGGACUGGGGGUUGGUCUAGCCCACUGGCUGACUUAGAUAUCAUCUUGGGAAUUUUUUAAAAAAUGGCUAAAGUUGUUUGGAUAUGGUAGUGUGUGGUUCUCUUUUGGAAUUUUUUUCAGGUGAUUUAAUAUAACUUAAUACUACUAUAGGAGCUUCAGAGCAAAGGAAGUGGCUUAAUGAUCCUGAAGGGAUUUCUUCCUGGUGGUAGCUUUUAUAUUAUCAAGUAAGAUUCUAUUUUCAGUUGUGUAUAAGCAAAUUUCUUUUCUCUAGUGUAGGAAAAGUAUUUUUCCAUUAACUGCAAACAAGAUGUUAAGGUAUGCUUCAAAAUUACUGUAAAUUGUAUAUUUUAAUCAUUUCUGAUAAAAAAGGGGGUGGGGUUUGUGGAUGAGGGCGGGGAAACCUUUUUGUUUUCUGUAGACUUUUUUCAGAUAACUUCUGAGUCAUAACCAGCCUGGCAAAUACGAUGACCUAGAUGGAGAGGGAACAGCAUCUUGGUGAAUGAUGAUAAGUAAAGGCAGAAAAGAUUAUGUUUCAUACCUCCAUUGGGGAAAAAAGCAUAACCCUGAGAUCCUUAACUACUGAUGAACGCAUUAUCUGCAUAUGCAAAAAAAAUUAAGCAAGUGAAACUACCAAUUUAAAGUUAAUGGAAUCUACCAUUUAAAAGUUAUGGCCUAUCAAGCUAUUCCCACACACAAAAAGAAUUGAUGAGCCGUAAUAUAAUGAAUUGAUGAGAAAUAACAACGAAGAUCAAAUAACCAUCUCAAAAUACUGCUUUUACAAAAGCAGAAUAAAACAAAAUGAAAAAUGGUAAAAUCAACAUUAAUCCUGGAAUAAAAGAAGCUGAAAUAAUUCAGAGUGGGAUCAAAUGGAUUGAGAGAAGGCUGUGCUGUUUGCCAAUCUUUCGUUUGCCUCAGACAGGUUUCUCUUCAUUAUCAGAAGAGUUGCUUCAUUUCAUCUGGGAGCAGAAAACAGCAGGCAGCUGUUAACAGAUAAGUUUAAUUUGAAUCUGCAGUAUUGCAUGUUAGGGAUAAGUGCUUAUUUUUAAUAGAACUGUGAAGGUCUUAAGUAUUGAACUUGGCUGUUUCCUGAUCCUUUCCUUAGAGGAUUUCAGGAUUGUGGGGAAUUUUCCCAUCUAGCCUUUUAAAAUUAGGACUUACUGUGGGCUUCCAUGAUGGGGUAGCACACCUCGUUCAGAGGCAAGUAAUUCCUUAAAGGCUUUGAAGAGUCGUAGUGCCUUAAUCAUAAGGCAAUGUUGAUAAAACUAAGAAAAUUGAAUCUCUUAAAUUCUACAAAAGGCUAGCAUAUUGUGCUGUUAAGAAUCCGAUGUUGUUAAUCUUGGUAAAACUUAAGUUUUGUGUUGUGAUGUACGUUGUAUAGAAAACAUUAAAUACUUCAAAAUAAAACAUUUUAAUCUAGAGAAUGUAUGCUUUUAGAAAGCUGUCUCCUCAUUUAAAUAAAGUAUUUGUUUGUUUGUAGUUAGUGUUGGGCAAUCUUGGGGGGGAUUCUUCUCUAAUCUUUCAGAAGCUUUGUCUGCGAACACUCUUUAAUGGACAAGAUCAGGAAUUGAGCGGAAGAACGAAUUUAACUUUAAGGCAGGAAAAACAUUUUAUCCUUCGUAAAGUGAUGAGCAUUUAAUAAUUCCAGGCACAUGGCAAUAGAGGCCCUCUAAAUAAGGAAUAAAUACCUCUUAGACAGGUGGGAGAUUAUGAUCAGAAUAACAGGUAACUACACCUACACUAUUUCCAGAAAGUCAGGGGUCUCUAAAUUUGACAGUGGUAGAGUAAUAAAAUACUGUCAACUUUUCCAGAGUUGCAUGUGAACUUUAAAUGCUUCUAAUCAUCUCAUCUGAUGUUAGUGUUGACACAACUGGCCUUUUCAUAUAGGUACUGGGGUGGGGGGCAUGUGGGUUUUUAAAGAAUUUUCUUUGCAGAGGCUUCAUUUCAUCCUUCAUGAAGCUGUUCAGGAUUUUGACUUGCAUAUAAGCGCUUGGCUCUGCCUUCUGUUCUAGUGAGUGUGUGAGACCUUGCAGUGUAUCAGCAUAAUAUUCAAGUAAACUUUCCCCUGAUUUUUGUAGGGGAGGAGGGGGAGGGCCUUACUUGUUUUAGCUUUUUUUUUUUUACAGACCACACAGAGAAUGCAGUUGUCUUGACCUCAGGUCUGUCUGUUCUGUUGGCAAGUAAUGCAGUACUGUUCUGAUCUGCUGCUAUUAGAAUGCAUUGUGAAACGACUGGAGUAUGAUUAAAAGUUGUGUUCCCCCAAUGCUUGGAGUAGUGAUUGUUGAAGGAAAUCCAGCUGAGUGAUAAAGGCUGAGUGUUGAGGAAAUUUCUGCAGCUUUUAAUCAUUCGUGUUUGUGAUUGAAGCCAAGUACCUUUUGCUGUGCUUCUUUAGGUAAAAUGCUUUUUGUUCACUUCUGGUAGGGGGGUGGGGAGGGUACUGAAGCCUUUAGUCUUUUCCAGAUGCACCUUAAAAUCAGUGACAAGAAAUAAAUUCCAAACAAGCAACAGCCUUCAAGAAAUUUAACUGGCAAGUGGAAACGUUUUAUCAGUUCAGUGGUCUUAGUGCAUUUUCUUUGUGUGGGUUUCUCUCUCCCCUCCCUUGGUCUUAAUUCUUACACACAGGAACAUUCAAAACAGCAGACGUAUGCGAAGGGCCAGAGAAGCCAGACCAGUAAGGAAAAAAAAUAGCUUAUUUACUUUAAAUAAACAGUCCAUUUUAAAUGUGGGGAUUGGGAACCACUAGUUCUUUCAGAUGGUAUUCUUCAGACUAUAGAAGGAGCUUCCAGUUGAAUUCACCAGUGGACAAAAUGAGGACAACAGGUGAACAUGCUUUUUUCUAUGUUUACAUACCAAGUCAGAUCCGUUAUGAAUAAGUAAUUUAGUGUUAAAUAGACUUUCAGCUUUAUGCUGGAAUAAAUAGCAUGUGAGCAGCUGUUGUUGGCCUGGGGGUGGAGGGGUAAGGUGGGCGCUAAGCCUUUUUUUAAGAUUUUUCAGGUACCCCUCUAAAGGCACCGAAGGCUUAAGUAGGACAACCAUGGAGCCUUCCUGUGGCAAGAGAGACAACAAAGCGCUAUUACACUAAGGUCAAUAAAAAUGGUGUCAGCCUCCUAACCCCAGCUUCUGUUAGAAAUGAGGACUUGCCUCAACACUUGGCAGACAUGCACUGAGGCUCUCUUCGGGGAACGGAGCAUCUAAAGGAAUGUUUUGAGUACCUUCUGUACCCCUGGGCUUGUCCUGUCCUGACAAUUAUGCUGCUUUUAUAGCAGCUAUUUAUUUAAAAAGCCCAUACCUCAAGUGAUGGUUGAAGGGGAGGGAAAUGGGGAAAGAGGGCAACCACUUUUCCCUAGCUUUUCCAGAAGCCUGUUAAAAAAGCAAGGCCUCCCCACAAGUGACUACUCUGCCACAUCGCCACUCCCUGCCUUUGGCCUAGCGCAGACCCUUCACCCCUCACCUCGAUGCUGCCAGUAGCUUGGAUCCUUGAGGGCAUGACCCCUAAUCGGUUUCAAGGUGGUCCCCAUGCAUCUAGUGUUUGGAGAAGACUUCCUAUGGAAAACUUUAAAAAUUCAUAUUAAUAAAAAAAAAUUAAAGCUC